rnacentral:rRNA from 1 species
GUAGCGGCGAGCGAACGGGGAGGAGCCCAGAGCCUGAAUCAGUGUGUGUGUUAGUGGAAGCGUCUGGAAAGGCGCGCGAUACAGGGUGACAGCCCCGUACACAAAAAUGCACAUGCUGUGAGCUCGAUGAGUAGGGCGGGACACGUGGUAUCCUGUCUGAAUAUGGGGGGACCAUCCUCCAAGGCUAAAUACUCCUGACUGACCGAUAGUGAACCAGUACCGUGAGGGAAAGGCGAAAAGAACCCCGGCGAGGGGAGUGAAAAAGAACCUGAAACCGUGUACGUACAAGCAGUGGGAGCACAGAGCAAUCUGUGUGACUGCGUACCUUUUGUAUAAUGGGUCAGCGACUUAUAUUCUGUAGCAAGGUUAACCGAAUAGGGGAGCCGAAGGGAAACCGAGUCUUAACUGGGCGUUAAGUUGCAGGGUAUAGACCCGAAACCCGGUGAUCUAGCCAUGGGCAGGUUGAAGGUUGGGUAACACUAACUGGAGGACCGAACCGACUAAUGUUGAAAAAUUAGCGGAUGACUUGUGGCUGGGGGUGAAAGGCCAAUCAAACCGGGAGAUAGCUGGUUCUCCCCGAAAGCUAUUUAGGUAGCGCCUCGUGAAUUCAUCUCCGGGGGUAGAGCACUGUUUCGGCAAGGGGGUCAUCCCGACUUACCAACCCGAUGCAAACUGCGAAUACCGGAGAAUGUUAUCACGGGAGACACACGGCGGGUGCUAACGUCCGUCGUGAAGAGGGAAACAACCCAGACCGCCAGCUAAGGUCCCAAAGUCAUGGUUAAGUGGGAAACGAUGUGGGAAGGCCCAGACAGCCAGGAUGUUGGCUUAGAAGCAGCCAUCAUUUAAAGAAAGCGUAAUAGCUCACUGGUCGAGUCGGCCUGCGCGGAAGAUGUAACGGGGCUAAACCAUGCACCGAAGCUGCGGCAGCGACACUAUGUGUUGUUGGGUAGGGGAGCGUUCUGUAAGCCUGUGAAGGUGUACUGUGAGGUAUGCUGGAGGUAUCAGAAGUGCGAAUGCUGACAUAAGUAACGAUAAAGCGGGUGAAAAGCCCGCUCGCCGGAAGACCAAGGGUU